rnacentral:rRNA from 1 species
GAUGAACGCUGGCGGCGUGCCUAAUACAUGCAAGUCGAGCGAACGGACGAGAAGCUUGCUUCUCUGAUGUUAGCGGCGGACGGGUGAGUAACACGUGGAUAACCUACCUAUAAGACUGGGAUAACUUCGGGAAACCGGAGCUAAUACCGGAUGAUAUUUUGAACCGCAUGGUUCAAAAGUGAAAGACGGUCUUGCUGUCACUUAUAGAUGGAUCCGCGCUGCAUUAGCUAGUUGGUAAGGUAACGGCUUACCAAGGCAACGAUGCAUAGCCGACCUGAGAGGGUGAUCGGCCACACUGGAGCUGAGACACGGUCCAGAAUCCUACGGGAGGCAGCAGUAGGGAAUCUUCCGCAAUGGGCGAAAGCCUGACGGAGCAACGCCGCGUGAGUGAUGAAGGUCUUCGGAUCGUAAAACUCUGUUAUUAGGGAAGAACAUAUGUGUAAGUAACUGUGCACAUCUUGACGGUACCUAAUCAGAAAGCCACGGCUAACUACGUG